UUGUGGAGGAGGACGCCGAAGGUGGGGCUAAUGACUGGGGUGAAGUCGUAACAAGGUAGCCGUACCGGAAGGUGCGGCUGGAUCACCUCCUAACAGGGAGACAACAAAAUGUUUAAUAUUAUUAUUUUGUCACCUUAGGUCGAUCGGUAUCUCACAUCCUUAAUUUAUUAAGGAUUUCAUUUCCUAAGUUUUUCUAGGUCACACCCAUUAUUUUUCCUGGGCCAUUAGCUCAGGUGGUUAGAGCGCACCCCUGAUAAGGGUGAGGUCCCUGGUCCAAGUCCAGGAUGGCCCAUAUCUCUAUGUUGGGGGUAUGGCUCAGUUGGUAGAGCGCCUGCUUUGCAAGCAGGAUGUCAGCGGUUCGAGUCCGCUUACCUCCACUGAUUACCACCUCUUCCAUAUUUAUGAUGAAGGAAAUGUUUUGAGUUGUGAUCAAAUUCUGAACGAUUCUAGCUUCCUAAUGAAAUCAUUAAGAUGCUGGACUCAUUGAAUUAAUUUCAUUGUUUUCAGAGAACCUUGACAACUGCAUAGAUUAUUUUUAAAGACAAUAAGCAUCUUUAAUGAUGCAGAUUUAUUAUUUGUGCGAAUGCAUUAAAUAACAAUUCUAUUAAGCUGAUGCUUCAAUUAUUGAAGUUAUUGGUCAAGCUACAA
rnacentral:misc_RNA from 1 species